rnacentral:rRNA from 1 species
GUGAGGAAUAUUGCGCAAUGGAGGCAACUCUGACGCAGCCAUGCCGCGUGCAGGAAGAAGGCGCUACGCGUUGUAAACUGCUUUUAACCGGGAAGAAACCCCAGGACGUGUCCUGGGUUGACGGUACCGGAGGAAUAAGCACCGGCUAACUUCGUGCCAGCAGCCGCGGUAAUACGAAGGGUGCAAGCGUUAUCCGGAUUCAUUGGGUUUAAAGGGUGCGUAGGCGGAGCGUUAAGUCAGUGGUGAAAUCCUGCAGCUUAACUGUAGACUUGCCAUUGAUACUGGCGCUCUUGAGUGCGCUUGAAGUGGGCGGAAUGUGACGUGUAGCGGUGAAAUGCUUAGAGAUGGCACAGAACACCAAUUGCGAAGGCAGCUCACUAAGGCGAUACUGACGCUGAGGCACGAAAGCGUGGGGAUCGAACAGGAUUAGAUACCCUGGUAGUCC